UACGUAGGGUGCGAGCGUUGUCCGGAAUUACUGGGCGUAAAGAGCUCGUAGGUGGUUUGUCGCGUUGUCCGUGAAAACUCACAGCUUAACUGUGGGCGUGCGGGCGAUACGGGCAGACUGGAGUACUGCAGGGGAGACUGGAAUUCCUGGUGUAGCGGUGGAAUGCGCAGAUAUCCAGGAGGAACACCGGUGGCGAAGGCGGGUCUCUGGGCAGUAACUGACGCUGAGGAAGCGAAAGCGUGGGGAGCGAACAGG
rnacentral:rRNA from 1 species